GACGAACGCUGGCGGCGUGCUUAACACAUGCGAGUCGAACGGGCUGCCUGGUUUUCGGAUCGGGUGGUGAGUGGCGAACGGGUGAGUAACACGUGAGUAACCUGCCCCUCUCUUUGGGAUAACGUCGGGAAAUCGGCGCUAAUACCGGGUAUUCUGGCUUCCUCGCAUGGGGUUGUUGGGAAAGGUUUUUUCUGGUGGGGGAUGGGCUCGCGGCCUAUCAGCUUGUUGGUGGGGUGAUGGCCUACCAAGGCGGUGACGGGUAGCCGGCCUGAGAGGGUGUCCGGCCACACUGGGACUGAGACACGGCCCAGACUCCUACGGGAGGCAGCAGUGGGGAAUAUUGCACAAUGGGCGGAAGCCUGAUGCAGCGACGCCGCGUGGGGGAUGACGGCCGUCGGGUUGUAAACCUCUUUCAGUGCAGAACAAGGCUCUUUGUGGGUUGAGGGUAUGCGCAGAAGAAGCGCCGGCUAACUACGUG
rnacentral:rRNA from 1 species